UACGUAGGGUGCGAGCGUUAAUCGGAAUUACUGGGCGUAAAGCGUGCGCAGGCGGUGAUGUAAGACAGAUGUGAAAUCCCCGGGCUCAACCUGGGAACUGCAUUUGAGACUGCAUCGCUGGAGUGCGGCAGAGGGGGAUGGAAUUCCGCGUGUAGCAGUGAAAUGCGUAGAUAUGCGGAGGAACACCGAUGGCGAAGGCAAUCCCCUGGGCCUGCACUGACGCUCAUGCACGAAAGCGUGGGGAGCAAACAGG
rnacentral:rRNA from 1 species